rnacentral:tRNA from 1 species
GGGUCAGUAGUUUAAUUGGCAAAACCCCUCUUUUUUUAACACAUAAUUUCAGUGUGUUAAAAAAAGAGGAGAUCUAGGUUCGAAUCCUAGCUGAUCCU